rfam:Pseudomonas lutea strain DSM 17257 Contig001, whole genome shotgun sequence.
GUCUUAUUUUUAUGGGUAUUGGUUUAGCCGCUGGCGCGCCUGAUACCCAAACGGCGCCCUGAAGUUCGGGACGCCCACCAGAGAUAACUCUCACCCCCGGUCGGCUUCCCGACCGGGGG